AUGAGAACUAAUGCACUUAUCCAGUCUACUACAUCAAGGAUAAGCCUUCCCGUGAACUAUCACAACACACUUUCUCAUAUGCCCUUUGUAUCACCUGUGUGUGUAGUUCAUUGGUUGUACAGGGAUCAGUCACUCAUGAAGAAGGGAAACCAGAGCUAGUUAUACUGAUGACGUCGUGCUAAAUAUACAGCCUCGUGUCUGUUCGAUCCUCCAGUGCGAGGAGGUUCGUCAGUCACAACAGUCACACAUCUCAGGCAGACUCUACAGGCAACGACGAGUUAUCUCCCUUAGGUACACCCAGGGGAAUGUCGGCUGAUCCAGUCAAACAUGGAUACCGUACAAGAACCCAUCAUGCCUCUCACCAGAAGUAUGGGAAGUGUCGGUCAUGUGGGCAGAAGGACAUUUGUCUGGUGUUUCUUCCCUGUGGACACGUGGUGUGUUGUGAUGUCUGCGGGGCAUCCGUGAGCAGUUGUGUGGUGUGUGACCGACCCAUUAGAGGGAGUAUCAGGACCUACUGAGGUCACUGACCCCCUAACACGGUGCCUGCAUGGAACUGGGAUAAAACUACAACCAUCUAUACCUGUGUAGAUCGUGUCACUUACUGAUCACACGAAAACACGUACCUUAUGACUUGCGAAGCUGUUAAAAAAAUUAUGUCCUGAACAUCUGGAUGCUGUUUUUUUUUUUAUUGUGAAAUUAUCGUUUGGCUUACUAGUUCCUGGCCGAAAGCCAACCCCCAACCUAUGAAGCGCAUGAAGGAUAUAUGUUUCUUAAAAUCCACACAUUCAAAAUAGCACAAAACGAUCAAACGUUUCGUGCAAAUUUGAUUCAUUCUGGUUUAAGCUUUAUCGCGUUCUGUACUUCUUCCAUUUGAAAAACCCUCUUCUUCCUCCGCAAAUAAAUAUAUUGUGUUUGUAA